rnacentral:rRNA from 1 species
GACGAACGCUGGCGGCGUGCCUAAUACAUGCAAGUAGAACGCUGAAGGAGGAGCUUGCUUCUCCGGAUGAGUUGCGAACGGGUGAGUAACGCGUAGGUAACCUGCCUGGUAGCGGGGGAUAACUAUUGGAAACGAUAGCUAAUACCGCAUAACAGUAGAUGUUGCAUGACAUUUGCUAAAAAGGUGCAAUUGCAUCACUACCAGAUGGACCUGCGUUGUAUUAGUUAGUUGGUGAGGUAACGGCGCACCAAGGCGACGAUACAUAGCCGACCUGAGAGGGGGGUCGGCCACACCGGGACUGAGACCCCGCCCCGGCUCCUUCGGGAGGCAGCCGUAGGGGAUCUUCGGCCAUUGACGGAAGGCUUACCGAGCAACGCCGCGUGAGUGGAGAAGGUUCUCGGAUCGUAAAGCUCUGUCGUAAGGGGAGAACGAGUGUGAGAGUGGAAAGUUCACACUGUGACGGUACCUUACCAGAAAGGGACGGCUAACUACGUG